rnacentral:rRNA from 1 species
UACAGAGGGUGCGAGCGUUAAUCGGAAUUACUGGGCGUAAAGCGCACGUAGGGGGCGACGUAAGUCGGGUGUGAAAGCCCCGGGCUCAACCUGGGAAUUGCAUUCGAGACUGCAUUGCUGGAGUACGGAAGAGGAGGGCGGAAUUCCCGGUGUAGCGGUGAAAUGCGUAGAUAUCGGGAGGAACAUCAGUGGCGAAGGCGGCCCUCUGGUCCAGUACUGACAAUCAAGUGCGAAAGCGUGGGGAGCAGACAGG